rfam:Triticum aestivum genome assembly, contig: Triticum_aestivum_CS42_TGACv1_scaffold_570696_7AS
UAUGUACUUCCUCCGUCCAGAAAUACUUGUCAUCAAAAUGAAUAAAAAAGGAUGUAAUAUACAUCCCUUUUUAUUCAUUUUGAUGACAAGUAUUUCCGGACGGAGAACAUCUCUUUUUAUUCAUUUUGAUGACAAAUAUUUUCGAACGGAGGAAGUAGGUG